rnacentral:rRNA from 1 species
UACGAAGGGGGCUAGCGUUGCUCGGAAUCACUGGGCUUAAAGGGCGCGUAGGCGGCUUCUCAAGUCGGGGGUGAAAUCUUUCGGCUCAACCGGAAAAGUGCCUCCGAUACUGGGAAGCUCGAGGGAGGUAGGGGCGGACGGAACUCCGGUGGAGCGGUGAAAUGCGUUGAUAUCGGAAGGAACGGCCGGUGGCGAAAGCGGUCCGCUGGCCCUCUUCUGGACGCUGAGGCGCGAAAGCCAGGGGAGCAAACGGG